rnacentral:rRNA from 1 species
UACAGAGGUCCCGAGCGUUGUUCGGAUUCACUGGGCGUAAAGGGUGCGUAGGUGGCCUGAAAAGUUUGAUGUGAAAGCUCAGGGCUUAACCCUGAAAUGGCAUUGAAUACUGUCGGGCUGGAGGUUUGGAGGGGGGACUGGAAUUCUUGGUGUAGCAGUGAAAUGCGUAGAUAUCAAGAGGAACACCAGUGGCGAAGGCGAGUCCCUGGACAACACCUGACACUGAGGCACGAAAGCGUGGGUAGCAAACAGG